rnacentral:rRNA from 1 species
CUUUGGGGGCAAGUCUGGUGCCAGCAGCCGCGGUAAUUCCAGCUCCAAUAGCGUAUAUUAAAGUUGUUGCGGUUAAAAAGCUCGUAGUUGAAUUUCGGGAUCAGUACGCUGGUCAUGCCUUUGGUAUGCACUGGUGUCACUGGUUUCUCCCUUCUGAAGAACCGUGAUGUCAUUAAUUUGGUGUCGCGGGGAAUCAGGACUGUUACUUUGAAAAAAUUAGAGUGUUUAAAGCAGGCUCACGCUUGAAUACAUUAGCAUGGAAUAAUGAAAUAGGACGUUUGACCCUAUUUUGUUGGUUUCUAGGAUCGACGUAAUGAUUAAUAGGGACAGUUGGGGGCAUUAGUAUUCAAUUGUCAGAGGUGAAAUUCUUGGAUUUAUUGAAGACUAACUACUGCGAAAGCAUUUGCCAAGGAUGUUUUCAUUAAUCAAGAACGAAAGUUAGGGGAUCGAAGACGAUCAGAUACCGUCGUAGUCUUAACCAUAAACUAUGCCGACUAGGGAUCGGAUGAUGUUAA